GAGGGCAUAGUUUAGUGGUAGAGUGCGUGCUUAGCAUGCAUGAUGCCCUGGGUUCAAUUCCUGGGACCUCC
rnacentral:tRNA from 1 species